CAAAAUAUAAAAUAAUAAUUAUGACGAUAGUUCGUUAAAUACUUUUUAAUAAUUUGUUACAAUGUAACUCAUUCUUAUUCCAAUUCCAAGAUAAAGUAAACACAUUAACAACAAUUUAGUUCAUUUCGAUUCUGAUUCCAAUUUCUACGGUUAAAGCAAAAACUUAUUCCGAUUUCCAUUCCCCAUUACUAUUAUAGCUCAUUCUUCAUUCUCACCUAUUUUGAUUCCAGGCUAUUUUGAUUUUAGUUUAGUAAACGCACCAUUAAUAUUCUUUAGGUUGUCUUCAAUCUACUGUUGGAUUGAAAUGAAUCCAACAAAUUAGAAAUUAAGUCAUGACUCACGUUUCUUUUUUUUCCCUUGCUUAAGCUUCCUCCUUCUUUAGAUGUUGAGGGUGGUUGUUUUGUUUCAACUUCCUUCUCCAAAGGUGUGAGGAUGACUGUUUUGUGCCCAUCUAGGACAUGAUCUCUGAGAUGGUUGUUGUGUACUUUUGUUGGGUUUUCAAUGAUUAGUUUUCUCUUUCUAGAUUUAUAUCUUAUGUGUUCCAGAUAUAGAAAAUUAGAGUCUAUAGAUAAAGUAUUAUGGUAGAUCUAUUUCAGUAUCAGUUGGAAAGACUAACUAUAUAUAUUGGUGGUGAAGGCUAUCUCAAAGGAGCUGGGGUAUCCCAAAUGAAGCUUAAAUUUGUUUUUGUGAGUCAUAUUCUUUUGAUAUCUUAAGGACAUAUUUGACACUUCUCAUUGUGUGGUAUUAGAAAUAAUCAUAGUAUUAAAGUAUUAUAAUAUCAUGUUUGGUAAUUACUCCUCAUUAUAGUACAACGUGAUCGCACCAUUUUUUAAUGUUGUCCAACCAAUAUAAAGGUUGGGUUUAUACGAGUUUGAAAUUGUUAAGACUAAAAAAUUUUACUUUUGCUCUUUCCUUCAUAGAUCUCUCUUUCACAGAUCUCUUUUACAUUUUUCUCUCAUUCAAGUUUUUGCAGGUUUAAUCAUGGUUCGAGCUUUACCAUGAUGUGAUCUGCCUCGACACUACUAGCUCCAAUGCCUCUGUACUGCUACUGUUGCAUGACAUCACCAUGACACUACUAGCUCCACUAUCUUUGCAAUCUACCUUCGCGAUGUGCGACACCAUUGUGCAAACUAGCGCACCAUAUGGCUUUGUAGCGAUCCACCACCCACCAUGCUCCACCACCUUCGUCAUUUUUGAAACUUUGAGGAUCUUUUCUCUGUGUUAGUAUGUUAGAUCAUGCGCGCUUUUAUUUUUAUGUUAUCAUGAGUAGGGGUGGGCAUAAACCCACAACCCAUGGGUUUAUCCAAACUCAAACCAAAUUAAAUGGUUUGGGUUGGGUAAAUCAUGAAAAUGGGUUAGAUGUGGGUUUUAUGUAGAAAACCAUUUCAUUAUAGUUUGGGUAUGGUUUACCCAUGGGUUAUGGACAAAACCCCAACACUCAAAAUUUUCAAAUGAAAUAAAUGAAAAUAAAAUAAAUGAACACAAAUAAGUGAAAGACCACCAUUAAAUUUUUUAUGGCGUGAUCAAUUGUCAACAGUUAGAAAAUAAAAAUAACAGUAAAAAUAAAUUUAAAUUAAAUAAAUAUUGUUGUAAAUAACAUAAAUUUUUUUUCUUAUUUACAAAAAUAAUUCCUCCGACAUGGAAGGAUCAUCAUAGAAAGAGCAGGAGACUCUACUAAGAAGAAAUAACAUAAAUUUCUUCUUAUUUACAAAAUUUUUUCUUAUAAUUAUUUAUUUUGUGAACAUUUUCUUAUAAUAAAUAUUUUAUAAUAUUUUAAAAUUAAAUGUAAAAAGUAUAGGUAAAAUAUUUUAUUAUUUAUCUUAUAAUAAAUUUUUAUUUGUCAUUCAAGUUUUCUUAUAAUAAUUUUUUUAUCAUUUGACUAAUAAUUUUCUUAUAUAUUUAUUAUAAGAAAAUUUUCACAAAAUAAAUAAGUAUAAAAAAAUUUUAUUAUUAAUUUUUUUGUUCAUAUCAAAACAUAUAUUUCUUGUUUUUAAUGCUUUAUUUUUUAUUUAGUUUCUAUUCAUGUGAUUUAUUUAAUUUAGAAUAAAUAUAAAUAAAAGAGUAGUUGAAAAUAAGGGUAAUAUUGUAAACUUAUACUAUUAUGGGGGUUUUUGGCCAUUAUAAAAGCAUAAAGGGGAAAAAUAAUAUACGUUGAUUACUGUAGGGGGGAAACUGGCAAUCUCCCUAAAAUUAAACAUAUAAGUAGACAACAUAAUGCAAAACUACCAAAAUGAUAAAUAAAAAUAAAUAUUACAUAAUUAAAUAAAUAACAAGUGGCAAAAUUUAUUAUUAGAUUGUUAAUGUCAUGUUUGUGAAAGUUUAUUAUUAAAGUGUACAUUCUUAUUUAUUGAGAAAUAAUAAUUUUUGUGAUUAAACUUUAUUUUGAUUUUCUAGUAUUCUUUAAUUUAAGGACUAAGUUAUUGUAAAAUUUAUAAUUUUUAUCCACUAUAUUUUUUUAUAUUUUAAUAUCAAUUUAAUAAUUAAUAAAAAUUAAUAAUUAUUAUAAUUUUGAUAUAAUUAAAUUUUAUUAAAAUAAAAAUUAUUUUGAUAAUAAAAUUCAAACCAAACCCAAAUGGUUUGGUUUGGUUUGGGUUAAAAAUAUUUGGGUUGGUUUGGGUUGGAUCCAAAUUUUUAUGGUUUGGUUUGGGUUGACUUAAAAUCCAACCCAAACCAACCCAUGCCCACCCCUAAUCAUGAGUCAUUUUACAUUAUGCUUGAUAUAUUUAUUUUCUUUUUUUAAUUUAAAGAUAUGGAUACAAGUGGUCAUCUUGAUCUUUGAGUUAUGUUCUGCUUUGAUGGUUGAUAUUGCUUUGAUGGUUGAUAUUUAUUAAACUGAGGUUAUUGUGAUUUGUGAAGUUUACUAAAUUAUUUGCUUGCACAUCUUAUCAUUCCUCCAAUACUAAAUCAUUGCUCCAAUUUAAAGGUUGUUAAUUAGGCCCUUGAGAGAAAAUACUUAAGACUCAAAGAUAGUGGUUUAUGUAUAUGUUAGUUUUUUUUUUAAUGCGUAUGUUAAUUUUUCCUUCUUGGUUGCAUCCCGCCAUUUUGGUCCCAAUAGCAUGUAAUAACAAUUGUUUGCUUGUCUUUUCUAUUUUGGAAUGUGACUUCCUCAAAAGUCAAGUCUACUUAAUGUUGAGGAAAUUGCUAUUUAAAUAUACUCAUAAUUAUAAUAUUUUGAACUUUUGUUCAAUACGUUGUUAUUGAGGCCAAUAUCAUACUUCUUCUUGUGAUUCUUCAAAAUGCAGAAUUUAAAAUCAAGAAGGAUGUUGCAUGAGCUAUAUGAAAUGCCACGUAUGGAGGAUCUCAUGAACAGAUUCAGUAUGUUUCUUGUAUUCACUUAGUGAUGUUCAUAUUAUAGACAUUUCUUUCAUUUUUUUUAAUGAUGUUUAUGUGAUAGAAUCACUUAUGUACCAUAUUCUUGCAGAUUCCUGGUGAGCCAAGGUUGCAUCAAAUUGCUCUAUGAUCUUCUACUUUAUCUGGACCCAAGGAUCGUGAUAGUUUGUCUAGAGGGUCUCAAGAACAUUUUGAAGGUGGAUGAGGCUGACAAGGAAGUGAGAAUAAAUAAUGAGGUUAAUGUUUGUGCUCAAAUAAUGGAUUAGAGAAGAUUGAAAAUCUACAGACCUACGGCAACAAUGAGAUUUAUGAGAAGGCUGUGAAGAUUUUGGAGAGAUAUUAGGCUGAGGAAGAGGAGGAAGAGAGCUUAUCCAAGAUGGCGGUAUCCAAAAUCAGCAGCACGAUUUCGGUUGAGCAACCAACCAACCGAACAUUCUCUGUAGUGGCUUCAAAUUUAGUUGAAGUAGUAGUUUAAUAAUAUCUUCGCUAGCUUUAAAGACAUUGUUUCUCCUGUGCAUUGAAUUUUGGAAUUUUCUAUAUUGUCUUGUCGCCAAGGUGCCAAGGGUCAGGAUUUUGGUCUGGCAUAUAGGCUUUUUCUUUUUCUUUUAUGGGAUAUGUUAAAACUUUUCAAGCUGACUUGCAGUUUUCAACUUGAAUUGUAUUUCCCAAUUCAUAGAUUCAUAGGAAAAAAUUUACAUUGUUAACUUACGUGCUUUGAUGUGGUGUUGUAAUUUGGCAAAUGCAACAUAAUACUUCUCAUAAUGUUGUGGAGUCCUAGAGGAUCUUCUUGGUUACUAAGGUGGCGUUUGUUUUUUUGUCUGAAAUCUAAAUAGACCUGAAUUAAUCUGAAUUCUGAAUAGAUCUGAAUGUCUGAAUCUGAAUAAUAUGUUUGUUUUUUCGUCUGAAUCUCGAAAAAUAAGUAUUAAAUUGUUUGUUUUUUUCAACUUAAAAAGCUGAAAAUAUAUACUUUUACAUUUGUAUCCUUAUUAAAUUUGAAUGUCAAAUGAAUAAUAUAUUAAAUACCACAAUAUUUUAACAUUUAUAAAUAAAACUAUAUUCAAGUGAAUACAUAAUUAUUUUAGAAUUUUAAUAUAUAAAAUACCAUAAAUUUCAAAUUUUAUCGUAUAUAAUAUAAGAAAGAAAAAACAUGGAUAUUUUUAUGUGGGGUAAAUGUCUAUGGGUGAGUUUUGGGAUAGACAUGAAAAAUAAAUUAUAAAGCAGGGAUAUUUUUGACAUUAGUAAGGUGGCAUUUGUUUUUUAACUUAAUGAUUUAAAGUGACUUAACUUAAUUAAUUUAGUUAAUUAGAGGUGUUUGUUUUUAUAACUUAAUGAGACUUUUUAAAUAAUUUUGACUUAAUAAAAUAAGCCAAUUUUUUUGGCUUUUUACUUAAUGGAGAAAUUUGAAUUAAGUCAAUUGUAUACUAAUGUCAAAAAUAUCCAUGUUUUAUAAUUUAUUUUUCAUGUAUAUCCCAAAACUCACCCAUAGACAUUUACCC
rnacentral:lncRNA from 1 species